GUGGGGAAUUUUGCGCAAUGGGCGAAAGCCUGACGCAGCAACGCCGCGUGGGUGAUGAAGUCCCUUGGGAUGUAAAACCCUGUCGGCUGGGACGAAACGGCUCGCAAGAGCAAUUGACUGUACCAGCAGAGGAAGCCCCGGCUAACUCCGUGCCAGCAGCCGCGGUAAUACGGGGGGGGCAAGCGUUGUUCGGAAUUACUGGGCGUAAAGGGCGUGUAGGCGGCCUAGCAAGUCAGCUGUGAAAGCCCCAGGCUCAACCUGGGAAUUGCAUCUGAAACUGCUGGGCUAGAGUUCAGGAGAGGAGGGCGGAACUCCCAGUGUAGCGGUGAAAUGCGUAGAUAUUGGGAGGAACACCGGUGGCGAAGGCGGCUCUCUGGACUGAAACUGACGCUGAGGCGCGAAAGCCAGGGGAGCGAACGGGAUUAGAAACCCCGGUAGUCC
rnacentral:rRNA from 1 species